UUUUAUAAAUAAUUUAAUUAAAAUUAUUUAUAAAAAAAAAUUAAAAUUAAUUUAUUUAUUUUGUUGGGGUGACAGAAAAAUAAAUUAAACUUUUUUUUUAUAAAAACAUAUAUAAGUGAAUAAAUGAUCCAAUAUUAUUGAUUAAAAGAAAAAA
rnacentral:rRNA from 1 species